GACGAGGGCGCGAGCGUUGUCCGGAUUUAUUGGGCGUAAAGAGCUCGUAGGCGGCUUGUCGCGUCGACUGUGAAAUCCCGCGGCUCAACCGCGGGUCUGCAGUCGAUACGGGCAGGCUAGAGUUCGGUAGGGGAGACUGGAAUUCCUGGUGUAGCGGUGAAAUGCGCAGAUAUCAGGAGGAACACCGAUGGCGAAGGCAGGUCUCUGGGCCGAUACUGACGUGAGGCAGCGAAAGCUAGGGGAGAAAUGGG
rnacentral:rRNA from 1 species